GUCGAACGCGUCUUGGUUAUUGAUGUUGGAUGCUUGCAUUUAACUGAUUUAACAUUGAGACGAGUGGCGAACUGGUGAGUAACACGUGGGUAACCUGCCCUUGAAGUAGGGGAUAACACUUGGAAACAGGUGCUAAUACCGUAUAACAACCAAAACCACCUGGUUUUGGUUUAAAAGAUGGCUUCGGCUAUCACUUUAGGAUGGACCCGCGGCGUAUUAGCUUGUUGGUAAGGUAACGGCCUACCAAGGCAAUGAUACGUAGCCGACCUGAGAGGGUAAUCGGCCACAUUGGGACUGAGACACGGCCCAAACUCCUACGGGAGGCAGCAGUAGGGAAUCUUCCACAAUGGACGAAAGUCUGAUGGAGCAACGCCGCGUGAGUGCUGAAGGGUUUCGGCUCGUAAAACUCUGUUGUUGGAGAAGAACAGGUGUGAGAGUAACUGUUCACAUCUUGACGGUAUCCAACCAGAAAGCCACGGCUAACUACGUGCCAGCAGCCGCGGUAAUACGUAGGUGGCAAGCGUUGUCCGGAUUUAUUGGGCGUAAAGCGAGCGCAGGCGGUUUCUUAGGUCUGAUGUGAAAGCCUUCGGCUUAACCGGAGAAGUGCAUCGGAAGCCAGGAGACUUGAGUGCAGAAGAGGACAGUGGAACUCCAUGUGUAGCGGUGAAAUGCGUAGAUAUAUGGAAGAACACCAGUGGCGAAGGCGGCUGUCUGGUCUGUAACUGACGCUGAGGCUCGAAAGCAUGGGUAGCGAACAGGAUUAGAUACCCUGGUAGUCCAUGCCGUAAACGAUGAGUGCUAAGUGUUGGAGGGUUUCC
rnacentral:rRNA from 1 species